rnacentral:rRNA from 1 species
AUUGAACGCUGGCGGCAGGCCUAACACAUGCAAGUCGAGCGGAGCGGCGGACGGGUGAGUAAUGCCUAGGAAUCUACCUGGUAGUGGGGUAUAACGUCCGGAAACGGGCGCUAAUACCGCAUAAUAUCAGAUGAGCCUAGGUCGCAUUUGCUAGUUGGUGGGGUAAAGGCCUACCAAGGCGACGAUCCGUAACUGGUCUGAGAGGAGGAUCAGUCACACUGGAACUGAGACACGGUCCAGACUCCUACGGGAGGCAGCAGUGGGGAAUAUUGGACAAUGGGCGAAAGCCUGAUCCAGCCAUGCCGCGUGUGUGAAGAAGGUCUUCGGAUUGUAAAGCACUUUCAGCGGGGAGGCGUUACCCGCAGAAGAAGCACCGGCUAACUCCGUGCCAGCCGCCGCGGUAAUAC